rnacentral:rRNA from 1 species
GUGGGGAAUAUUGGACAAUGGGGGGAACCCUGAUCCAGCCAUGCCGCGUGUGUGAAGAAGGCCUUUUGGUUGUAAAGCACUUUAAGCGAGGAGGAGGCUACCGAGAUUAAUACUCUUGGAUAGUGGACGUUACUCGCAGAAUAAGCACCGGCUACCUCUGUGCCAGCAGCCGCGGUAAUACAGAGGGUGCAAGCGUUAAUCGGAUUUACUGGGCGUAAAGCGCGCGUAGGUGGCCAAUUAAGUCAAAUGUGAAAUCCCCGAGCUUAACUUGGGAAUUGCAUUCGAUACUGGUUGGCUAGAGUAUGGGAGAGGAUGGUAGAAUUCCAGGUGUAGCGGUGAAAUGCGUAGAGAUCUGGAGGAAUACCGAUGGCGAAGGCAGCCAUCUGGCCUAAUACUGACACUGAGGUGCGAAAGCAUGGGGAGCAAACAGGAUUAGAAACCCGAGUAGUCC